CAAGAGAGUUAAUCACUAAUCCUGCUUGAUAGAGCUGAAUACCUUCCUUCAAUAGCUAAGAAAUCACCUUCUCCAGCUCCUUUCCCUCUCUAUUUCUUCUCUAUUUUUACUGCAAACUCAGAACAACAUCGAAAAGAACAACUAGUGGAUAAUCCCUUCAAGAAUUAGAAUUUUAAAUAAUUUCCUUUCUAGGUGUCAAUCCCUCAAAACAACCAGCAAAA
rnacentral:lncRNA from 1 species